rnacentral:rRNA from 1 species
ACAUGCAAGUCGAACGAUGAACUUCCUUCGGGAAGGGAUUAGUGGCGAACGGGUGAGUAACACGUGAGAAAUCUGCCCUUCACUCUGGAAUAACUCCGGGAAACCGGAGCUAAUACCGGAUACUCAAAUUUGGCGGCAUCGCUGGAUUUGGAAAGUUUUUCGGUGAAGGAUGAUCUCGCGGCCUAUCAGCUUGUUGGUGAGGUAACGGCUCACCAAGGCUACGACGGGUAGCCGGCCUGAGAGGGCGACCGGCCACACUGGGACUGAGACACGGCCCAGACUCCUACGGGAGGCAGCAGUGGGGAAUAUUGGGCAAUGGACGAAAGUCUGACCCAGCGACGCCGCGUGAGGGAUGAAGGCCUUCGGGUUGUAAACCUCUUUCAGCAGGGAAGAAGCGAAAGUGACGGUACCUGCAGAAGAAGCACCGGCUAACUAUGUGCCAGCAGCCGCGGUAAUACAUAGGGUGCAAGCGUUGUCCGGAAUUAUUGGGCGUAAAGAGCUCGUAGGUGGUUAGUUACGUCGGAUGUGAAAAUCUAGGGCUCAACCCUAGACCUGCAUCCGAUACGGGCUAGCUUGAGUUUGGUAGGGGAGACUGGAAUUCCUGGUGUAGCGGUGGAAUGCGCAGAUAUCAGGAGGAACACCAAUGGCGAAGGCAGGUCUCUGGGCCAAUACUGACACUGAGGAGCGAAAGUGUGGGGAGCGAACAGGAUUAGAUACCCUGGUAGUCCACACAGUAAACGAUGGGCACUAGUUGUGGGAACCUUCCACGGUUUCUGCGACGCAGCUAACGCAUUAAGUGCCCCGCCUGNGGAGUACGAUCGCAAGAUUAAAACUCANA